UAAAAGGUAAGCUAAAACUGAAAAGCUUUUGGGUUCAUAUCCCAACUAUAGGUUAAACCUCCUCUUUA
rnacentral:tRNA from 1 species